rnacentral:rRNA from 1 species
GUGGGGAAUCUUCCGCAAUGGACGAAAGUCUGACGGAGCAACGCCGCGUGAGUGAUGAAGGUCUUCGGAUUGUAAAGCUCUGUUAAUCGGGACGAAAGAGCCUAGUGUGAAUAAUGCUAGGAAGUGACGGUACCGGAAUAGAAAGCCACGGCUAACUACGUGCCAGCAGCCGCGGUAAUACGUAGGUGGCAAGCGUUGUCCGGAAUUAUUGGGCGUAAAGCGCGCGAAGGCGGAUCUGCCAGUCUGUCUUAAAAGUUCGGGGCUUAACCCCGUGAUGGGAUGGAAACUACAGAUCUAGAGUAUCGGAGAGGAAAGUGGAAUUCCUAGUGUAGCGGUGAAAUGCGUAGAUAUUAGGAAGAACACCAGUGGCGAAGGCGACUUUCUGGACGAAAACUGACGCUGAGGCGCGAAAGCCAGGGGAGCGAACAGGAUUAGAAACCCCUGUAGUCC